UAUUGGACAAUGGGGGGAACCCUGAUCCAGCGACGCCGCGUGAGUGAAGAAGUAUUUCGGUAUGUAAAGCUCUGUCAGCAGGGAAGAAAGCAAUGACGGUACCUGACCAAGAAGCCCCGGCUAACUACGUGCCAGCAGCCGCGGUAAUACGUAGGGGGCAAGCGCUAUCCGGAAUUACUGGGUGUAAAGGGAGCGUAGACGGCUGUGCAAGUCUGGAGUGAAAGGCGGGGGCCCAACCCCCGGACUGCUCUGGAAACUGUAUGGCUGGAGUGCAGGAGAGGUAAGCGGAAUUCCUAGUGUAGCGGUGAAAUGCGUAGAUAUUAGGAGGAACGCCAGUGGCGAAGGCGGCUUACUGGACUGUAACUGACGUUGAGGCUCGAAAGCGUGGGGAGCAAACAGG
rnacentral:rRNA from 1 species